UACGGGGGGAGCAAGCGUUGUUCGGAUUUACUGGGCGUAAAGGGCGCGUAGGCGGCCACCGCAAGUCGGUUGUGAAAUCUCUGGGCUUAACCCAGAAAGGUCAACCGAUACUGCGGGGCUAGAGUGCAGAAGGGGCAACUGGAAUUCUCGGUGUAGCGGUGAAAUGCGUAGAUAUCAGGAAGAACACCCGUGGCGAAGGCGGCUCUCUGGGACGGUACUGACGCUGAGACGCGAAAGCGUGGGGAGCGAACAGG
rnacentral:rRNA from 1 species